GCCCCUAUGGCUCAGCGGUAGAGCGUCGCACUCGUAAUGCGAAGGUCCAUAGUUCAAUUCUGUGUGGGGGCA
rfam:Trichoderma gamsii strain T6085 Scaffolds0009.1, whole genome shotgun sequence.